rnacentral:rRNA from 1 species
UACGUAGGGAGCGAGCGUUAUCCGGAUUUAUUGGGUGUAAAGCGUGUGUAGACGGUUUCUUAAGUCUAUAGUCUAAGCCUGGAGCUUAACUCCAGUUCGCUAUGGAAACUGAGAGACUUGAGUAUGGUAGAGGCAAGUGGAAUUUCUAGUGUAGCGGUGGAAUGCGUAGAUAUUAGAAGGAACACCAGUGGCGAAGGCGGCUUGCUGGGCCAUCACUGACGUUGAGACACGAAAGCGUGGGGAGCGAA